rnacentral:rRNA from 1 species
ACGGGGGCCCGCACAAGCGGUGGAGUAUGUGGUUUAAUUCGACGCAACGCGAAGAACCUUACCCAGGUCUUGACAUUGAUGGACAGAACUAGAGAUAGUUCCUCUUCUUCGGAAGCCAGAAAACAGGUGGUGCACGGUUGUCGUCAGCUCGUGUCGUGAGAUGUUGGGUUAAGUCCCGCAACGAGCGCAACCCCUAUCUUAUGUUGCCAGCACGUAAUGGUGGGAACUCAUGAGAGACUGCCGCAGACAAUGCGGAGGAAGGCGGGGAUGACGUCAAAUCAUCAUGCCCCUUAUGACCUGGGCUACACACGUACUACAAUGGGCUUUAAUAAAGGGAAGCAAAGUCGCGAGACGGAGCAAACCCCAGAAACAAGCUCUCAGUUCGGAUCGUAGNANGCAACUCGCCUACGUGAAGUCGGAAUCGCUAGUAAUCGCAGGUCAGCAUACUGCGGUGAAUACGUUCCCGGGCCUUGUACACACCGCCCGUCACACCACGAAAGUCGGAAGUGCCCAAAGCCGGUGGGGUAACCUUCGGGAGCCAGCCGUCUAAGGUAAAGUCGAUGAUUGGGGUGAAGUCGUAACAAGGUAGCCGUAUCGGAAGGUGCGCUCUGGAUCACCU